UCACUAUUUUUUCUCUUAACAGAUUACAACACAUUGAUGAAGUAGUAAGGGCUGCACGACUUUCGGGGUAUUUGGACAUGAGAAUGGUAUUAAAGAGCCAGCAGCUAUCAUCAUCUUAAACACUGUUUGGAUUUCGGACAAUACUUCAUUGAAUUUACUUUUUUUUUUCCACAACUUUAUUCUGCCUUUUUUUGAUAGAGAUGGGCUACUUUACCUGGAGAACCUCUUCCUGUUGAUGACACUGAUGUUGAUGACUGGCUUCCAAGAUUUUUUGUCCUUCACUGUUGGAUUUCAGACAAUACUUCAUUGAAUUUACAUUUUUUGUUCCACAAUUUUAUUCUUCCUUUUUUCGAUAGAGAUGGGCAACUUUACCCGGAGAACCUCUUCCAGUUGAUGACA
rnacentral:lncRNA from 1 species